rnacentral:sRNA from 1 species
UAUGAUCAGUACAUCUUCCUUCGGGGAAUC